CGGAAGGCGGCUGCAUCGCGGGCUCCGGGCAGGAAGGCUCUGCCCUAGAACUUUGCUAUGCCACCCCAGCGAGCGCCGGAUGGGUGCAGCCGGUGUGGUGUUCGCUUUCAACUUUCCACUCAAAUAAAAAUGAUUCGGAGAAUUUGUCAAUCCGGUAAUCCCAUCCCUUAGAGACAAAAUGCUUCUAGUUCAGAAAUGUUGGGAUUUCAUUAUAGUUGCUGUUAAUUUCUGUUAAAGUACCCCCCCCCCCUUUGGAAUGUUGACUUGUAACAGUAUAUAAGAUAACUGACUUAAGGCCAGGGUUCCAUCAUUACGUCUCCAUUAGGGACCUGAGUGUAUUGCCUAGAAAAUUACUUACUUUAAACACAAACUUCUUAAAAAUGAUUUUGAAUCAAAAAACACAAAGGGAAAUUUCUAUCACUCGGUUUGAAGAACAUGUACCAGGUACCUAGCAGUUUGUCGGGUUAAUUUAUAGUCAGUCAGUGGUUACUGAGAGUUGCCACUUACUGAUUAAUUAGCAUGUGUGACAGGAAAUUAGCUAGGAGUGUUCCAUGCCCUGUGCCGUGGUCUGACUUGGGGGUUCAGGACAGUUCCUGCCUUCAUGUAGCCUGUGGUCUAGGAGGAGAUGAUGCUAUUAAAAGGGUCAUUUUAGAGUCAGUUGAUCAAGAUUCCAUGACUAGACCUUCAAAUACUGACUGUGACCCCUUCACCCCAACAGACUGUUUUCACUAUCCUGCCACUGUAGGGACUUUCAUUUUCUGAUCAAGAAAAUAAGGAGCAUAUAGAAAUCUUAUAUAAGCAGAAUGGUGAUGACUGUGGGUUCAGGAUCGAAAACGACAAGGCUGUCUCCAUCCCCUUCCCUAUGACAAAGCAGAAUUGUUUUGGCUAGCAAUCUACUCUUAGAGGCAGACACUGUUUUAUAGCAAAAUAUUUGCAUAUUAUCUACUUCAUUGUCUUCAGAUUAUAGAAACCACUGGUUUCUGAAGAUCUUUUCUAUCCCAUUUUCUACAUUAAAAAAAAAAAAAAAAAGCAAGAUUUCACCAAUGAUUCGAACAAGUCAAAGAUGCCUGGCCACACACCAAAUAGAUCCUAAACUACUUAAAAUAGUAGUUCAAAAUGCCUGUGUUUUCACUUAGUGUUUAAGAAAGAACCCUGAUCUUGAAAUUCAAGUCUUAGUUAUGUGCUCUUCAGAAAUCAUGUAAUCUCUCACCGAUCCCCUUCCCUCAUCUGUCAAACAAAGGAAUUAAUAACCUUCCAUUUCACUGAGAUUCUGUAAAAUGAGAGAAGUAAUUCUACCCUGCAAUCAAACUGAGUUUUGUGAAGGUCUGAUGAUACUCUGCAUGUGAGCAUGCUUUGGAAACAGUAAAGUAUAUAUACAUUUACUCAUACAACAAACAUACAUCCCACAUGAACUGUCCAGCAAGCACUAUGCUGGGUGCUGGCCAUGCAGAGAUUAAAGAGAGUUGGCCCUCUCCCUGGACAGUGCUCAGUCCAAGUUGGGAGACAAAAAAUGAGCAAGCUGUGAGAAUUCCAUGAAGUAAGUGCUCCAAGCAGCAUAGAAAGGACAGGACAAAGCAACAACUAUGGUUAUCAUUAUUCACAUCCCUUAAAUCAAACAACAGAGAAAAGUUUAAUUGUGCACAAUAAACAGUAGAGUAUGUUCUGUGGAUUUGCACAAAUAUCCAACCUCAUUCAAUAAUUGAAGAUGAAAAGAACAUACGAAUCUCUUGGUCACUAAUGUAGCUCUUUUAACAACAUAGUUUAUUAUGAAUAUGCGUUUGAGUGGCUUGAUUCAUAAGUCUAAAAGCCAUAAUUGUACCAAUUUCCACACAAAUCCCAGAUUGUAAGGUCUAUAAAAUUAGGUUUUUUGUCUUUUUGUUUUCUGAUAUAUCCCCAGCACCAAACAUUUUAUAACGUGUUUCUAUACUUAUAACUUGAGCUCCCUAAUUGAAAAUUUGCUCUAUCAUUCUCUAUGUUGACCCUGUGGGCUUUUGUAAGAAUUAAAAGAAAAAGUAAGAGAAAGCACAAAUCACCAUAUAUUCAUUAGUUAUUAUUUCUAUUAGGGACAAGUUCAGUGUCUUAGCUUAUGUGUAUGUAGGUGUAGAAAAUUAACAGCAAACACUGCAUUAUCUGUUAAGAUUUAUUUUUUAUAGAAUAUGAAUGACUAUCUCCAAUAGUAUUUGUGAGUGUCUGCUUAAGACAUGCAGACACAUAAGAAAAGUUCCUUAUCCUCUUCUUUUGCUUCAGUAGAUGUGAUCAUACUUAGGUCUCGUGAAUAAUUGCCUGGAUCACUACUAUACUAACCAUAGCAUUUCAUCAAGGUCAAUAUAUUUGAUCUAUUCAUAUGUUUUUUGCUUUGUUGAUUGUGUAUUACUCAGGGAAUUGUAAAACACCUGUAAUUACGCUUGUACCUUAGCUAUUGGGUUACACAAUCACUACAGUCUUUCAUUAAAUCAUGUAUAGUAUAUGUGUAGUAACUAUGUUUUCAGUGGAAUUCAUUAAUUCAAUAAAUGAUUAUUGAGCACUUACUAUAUGCUAGGCUUAGUGCCAGGUUGGUUUCUCUCCUCUUUUUAGUCCAAAAAAGUAGGUAUUGUUAUCCCAUUUUAUAGAUAAGUAAACUGAGAGCAGAGGGGUUAAGCAUCUUGCUUAAGAAUAGUAGCACCGAGGUUCAAGAGCCCCUGUGCUUUCUGCUAAGAAAUAUUACACCUCAUUUUGUAUUACUGAAGAUUUAGGGAAUUCAGCCUUUUAUAUUAUAUUUGUAAUUGUGUAAUAUGUAUAAUAUAUAUGUAAUAUGUAUAAUAUAUAUGUAGUUUAUAUAUAUGUAACAUAUAUAUAUAUGUAAUGUAUAUAUAAAAUAUCUCUUCUCUCUUUUUGUUAUGCUUGAGUUAUCCUCAAAGAGAGGAAUGCAUGGAAGAAAUUUAGGUCAAAGGAGAAAAGAAGUGUGAUCCUGAAUCCAUUCUAUAUCCAUAUAGAUUAAUAUUAAAAUGACUACCUACUUUGAAAUAUAAAAUCUGUUUUUUCUAAAAAAGUAUUUCAAACCUAUGUUAAGGUCUGUUUCACUUAAUUGAAUCUUUUUGAAUUAUAUGACAAAACCAAGUGAGUGUUUGCAUGAAGAAUUAGUAUACCAAGAAAAUGAGUUUAGUUAGAUUAUAAAUGGAGUAUAAUAAACAGUUUCAUAUGAGGAAAAUAGCACCUUGAAACUGGAGUUCUUUCAACCUUAGGUGUUAGAAAUUAUUUUUGACUUAUUCAAGAUAUCACAUUAUCUUCCUUGAUUCUCACAGCUUUGUCAAAAUAACACUAGAUUAAGAUGAAGUGCCAAACUAUACUUUGGAAUGUAAAUGUUUGUGUUUUUUUAGUCAUCAUAAAUAUAGAAUCCUACUAAAUUUA